GCCAGUAACCAGCAGGUAGCCUAGUGGUUAGAUCGUUGGGCCAGUAACCAGCAGGUAGCCUAGUGGUUAGAGCGUUGGGACAGUAACCAGUAGGUAGCCUAGUGGUUAGAUCGUUGGGCCAGUAACCAGCAGGUAGCCUAGUGGUUAGAGCGUUGGGCCAGUAACCAGCAGGUAGCCUAGUGGUUAGAUCGUUGGGCCAGUAACCAGCAGGUAGCCUAGUGGUUAGAUCGUUGGGCCAGUAACCAGCAGGUAGCCUAGUGGUUAGAGCAG
ensembl:lncRNA